UGAUAAGUAAUGAAAUCAGACAUAGACUACAAACUAAGCAAUGAGUCUAUAGUGCUCUGAAAGAAUCCCUUUUUCUCUAGGUUGAGAUAAACUAUCUCAUUCUCUCCAGAAGCAAUGGUGCCGUGAAGACUUUGCUGUCAUAGGGCUGGCUUCUCAUGGCUCUCCUGAAACAUCCCAAGGAACAAUUAUUUUACAAGAUGUACUUUCUUUUAUAUUACCUAUUCCUAUUCCUUUCUUUUCAGGAAUUACUCAUUCUAGGAGAAUGGCACAGCAAGUGCACAGAGUGGGGAGAGGCAGAGCGUGAGCGUGGAGGGACAGAGAGAGAAGGGGACACAGAAGCUGAAGCAGGCUCCAGGUCCUGAGCUUUCACCACAGAACCUGACCCGGGGCUCAUACUCACCAGCCGUGAGAUCAUGACCUGAGCCAAAGUCGGAUGUUUAUCUGACUGAGCCACCUGGCAUCCCAAUGUGACCAGCUUUCAAAAUCUGAAAUUCCAAGUUGUCCUUAGUACUAUGAGAUUAUAUGACCUCAGAGACUGACUUUGUGGAAAACCAUCCUACCCCCCUCACAAGGGCAGCCCCCAGCUGCUGUGUACAUUUCAAACUUUCAAAAAAGUGGCUGCCUAAAGGA